GAGUUUGAUCCUGGCUCAGAUUGAACGCUGGCGGCAUGCCUUACACAUGCAAGUCGAACGGCAGCAUGAUCUAGCUUGCUAGAUUGAUGGCGAGUGGCGAACGGGUGAGUAAUACAUCGGAACGUGCCCUGUAGUGGGGGAUAACUAGUCGAAAGAUUAGCUAAUACCGCAUACGACCUGAGGGUGAAAGUGGGGGACCGCAAGGCCUCAUGCUAUAGGAGCGGCCGAUGUCUGAUUAGCUAGUUGGUGGGGUAAAGGGCCCGACCAAGGCGACGAUCAGUAGCUGGUCUGAGAGGACGAUCAGCCACACUGGGACUGAGACACGGCCCAGACUCCUACGGGAGGCAGCAGUGGGGAAUUUUGGACAAUGGGCGAAAGCCUGAUCCAGCAAUGCCGCGUGUGUGAAGAAGGCCUCGG
rnacentral:rRNA from 1 species